rnacentral:rRNA from 1 species
GGGCCCGCACAAGCAGUGGAGUAUGUGGUUUAAUUCGAAGCAACGCGAAGAACCUUACCAGGUCUUGACAUCCAUCGAAUCGGGUAGAGAUAUCCGAGUGCCUUUCGGGGAACGAUGAGACAGGUGGUGCAUGGUUGUCGUCAGCUCGUGUCGUGAGAUGUUGGGUUAAGUCCCGCAACGAGCGCAACCCUUGUUAAUAGUUGCUACGCAAGAGCACUCUAUUAAGACUGCCGUUGACAAAACGGAGGAAGGUGGGGAUGACGUCAAAUCAUCAUGCCCCUUAUGACCUGGGCUACACACGUACUACAAUGGCCGCCAACAGAGGGAAGCGAAACCGCGAGGCGAAGCAAACCCCUAAAAACGGUCUCAGUUCAGAUUGCAGGCUGCAACCCGCCUGCAUGAAGAUGGAAUUGCUAGUAAUCGCGGAUCAGCAUGCCGCGGUGAAUACGUUCCCGGGCCUU